AGAUCGGUGGCUAGAGAAGGAGAAGGAGCACCGGUGGGAGGUGCCGGUGGGCUUGAAAGUAAAGGAGAAGGAGCAACCGUCGGAGUCACACUAGGAGUGGGAGAUGAAACGGGGACAGGAGCAGGGGGGGAAGCGAGUGGAGCAGGUGGUGGUGAGGCGACAGGAGGAGGAGUAGCUGGUGGCGGUGAUGCAACAGGAGGAGGAGUAGCAGGAGGUGGUGAUGCAACAGGAGGAGGGGUAGCCGGUGGUGGUGAAGCAACAGGAGGAGGAGUAGUUGGUGGUGGUGAGGCAACGGUGGGAGGUGCGGCUACAGGGGGAGGAGUGGAGGUUGGUGGAGAUGCGACUUGAGGUGGGGGAGCGGUGGUGGUAGGAGGAGGAGAUGCGACGACUUGUGGUGGGGAAGUGGUGGGGGAGGAAGAGGGAGAUUGACCGCCGACGGAGGAGAUGACAAUGCAGAUGAAAGCCGUGAGGAAGACGGCGUUGCGAUCCAUGGUUAACGUGCGCCGCUGAUGGUGGUAUAUGUUAACCUAAAUGGUUGAAGAUGAAGGUAUGGAUACAAAGUGGGAAGU
rnacentral:lncRNA from 1 species